rnacentral:rRNA from 1 species
AGAACGAACGCUGGCGGCAGGCUUAACACAUGCAAGUCGAGCGCCUCGCAAGAGGAGCGGCAGACGGGUGAGUAACACGUGGGAACGUGCCCAAAGGUACGGAACAACUCCGGGAAACUGGAGCUAAUACCGUAUGUGCCCGAAAGGGGAAAGAUUUAUCGCCUUUGGAUCGGCCCGCGUCUGAUUAGCUAGUUGGCGGGGUAAUGGCCCACCAAGGCGACGAUCAGUAGCUGGUCUGAGAGGAUGACCAGCCACAUUGGGACUGAGACACGGCCCAAACUCCUACGGGAGGCAGCAGUGGGGAAUAUUGGACAAUGGGCGCAAGCCUGAUCCAGCCAUGCCGCGUGAGUGAUGAAGGCCUUAGGGUUGUAAAGCUCUUUCGCCGAGGACGAUAAUGACGGUACCGCAAGAAUAAGCCCGGCUAACUUCGUGCCAGCAGCCGC